GUGAGGAGUGAUGCAGUAGUCUUCGGUAACCAAGGUAACGGUGGCACUGACCUCCUGGCCGGCCAACCAGAGGCUGCUGGACAACGCCGCCGCCAGUGCCCGCUCCUGAUCCCUCUGUCCUAUCUCACUGAGACUGUGGGAGAGGGUGGACAAAAUAACUGAAACACCUUACAGUUUUUACAGCAGCUCAGGUUUGUUUCCCAUUACGUGACAGCACCUUGUUAACAGGUGGAAGUAUCACGGUCACUCUGAGCCUGUCAAACGGGAUGAUGUAACGAAGGAGGACACUGAGGUGUGGUAGUAUCGUCUGUCCUCACCUGUGCAGCAUCCGUCCAUCUGAGCUGCUCUGACGGCUGAACAGCAGGUGUUUAAUGAUACGAGCCUGGAUGACCAUCUGAAUGGCCCGAGCCCCGCCCUGUAAAAACACCUGGCCAGGAUCCGUUUCUGUGCUGUAACAAACACACACAGCAGCUGGAGACUGACCUGAGUGCAGCAGAUCAUCAGGACCAGCAGAGGGCAGUGAGUCUGAGCUGAAUGAAGUCUGUUUGACCAUUAUUCAGUUUAAAUAAGGACGCUGUCCUCCUCACAGGGAAACUGAUCGCGACCAGACUCACGUUCAGAGUACAUUUCUUUCAGAGACAGGUAGAUUUUUGUUAUACAGAUUCAUAGGUGGACAGAUGUAUAAACAGGAAGAUACUUACAGUUACGUGUUUUGACGGCAGCCUGAGGAAAGAAGACGCGAGUUAGAUGUCAGUCAACAAAGCAGAGGCAGAUUUUUAUAAACCUCAGCUAAAUGUUUGAUUUGCUUCCAUUUUAUUUUCAUUGUGUUUUAGAUGAAAACUUUCCUCCAGUUCUGCAGGUCAGACACCUGGACCAGGAUCUGCUGUAGCUCCACCUCCGUCUGAACACACACACACAUAAAAGUUUGUUUUUAUUAUAUUUGUGAAGACCCUCAACCUGAUUCUAACCUGAACCUUAAAACCAGGUCUGAACCAUCAACAGCUCUUUGAAAUGCUGAGGACUGGACAAGAAGUCCUCACUGUGAUGGU